AUAAACAUCAAAUGUAAGGGCAAAAUUCAUCUUUCUACUUCCAACUAAAAAUACAUUGAAAAACAUUAAUUUAGGCUUAAACAAAAUUUUUAUUAAAAAAUAUGUUUUGCCCUUGCAUUAGUAACUAGAUUAAAACGUGUGUUAUGUCUCCAAAAAAUUAGAGUCAGAAGAUUUGUAUUUUUCAUCUACGAAAAUAUAUCAAAUUUAACGUCAUUUCGAGUCAUAUUUCUUACUCAACUCAAAAAAGAACCAAAAUUGCUUUAGAAACUUUCAAAUAAUAAACAAAUAUGGAGCAUAGCAAUUUCCGGAACACUUAUUCGCAAUUAGGGAAAAUAUUAAAAAAGCCUUCUUAAAAAAUUGUUAAAAUUAAUUACAAUUCAUACUUUGAACUUUCAAAAGUAAUUCGUUGUGUUAACUGUGUUAAAUUUACUUCAUUAACUACAAGUACAUCAAAAAGUUGAUCCGAAAGAUAUGCGGAUGAUUUCAGGUUUUUUAUCAUCAUCAUCCCGAUUUUCUAAAAAUUAUCUUCCAGUAAAUCUUGACAAAAAUUGUUCCUCAAGGUUACCCUGACACAAUCCUCUAGAUUUUUAUGUGCGAAUAUUUGUUUCGACGCGAGAAUUCGCUAGGUGCUGAGUUAUUGUAUUGUUCGUUGUUUCGUUUGCCAUAUCUGGUAUUAUUUUGGAUUGCACCAUCAUGCUCAAUCUUUAAUCUCUUUAAUUUUUAAUCUCGUCUCGUCGAGUUUUGAGUUCAAGUACUUGGUAGUAGCUAUUUCUAGUGAAUUCAGCUACCUUGAGUGUGAAUGAGAAUUAUAACUGGAAAUUGGCAGCAUCUUGAAACGUUGCUCAUUCUGUGAGGCAGAAUUUCAUUUAUUUGCCUCAUUAACGGAGACGAUCGGAGACACAAACUAGGAUAUCCCAAGAUUAAAGAGAGACUGAAAUCUCGAAGUGACAACUAAGGUUUGUUUUUAUACUUUGAAGUCUUUUUAUGGCUUCAAGUCAAUUGUUUGGAUUUCGAUUUUAGUAGAAAUUAGAUCCCUAUCCUUCACAGUGACUGGACAACAUAAUUAACUCAUAAUAUUGAUUGAUUAUUGUUCUAAAAUGAGAAAGACAAUCAUCAGAUAUUAAAUUAUUCUAAUCUUUUACCAAGUAUAUAAAAAUUAUUUUUAUUGAAAUGGUAGUAUGUCAUUUAUUGUAUCAUUUAUAAUAAAAAAUUAUUGUUCAAACGCGAAUGAAUCUUUUUCUUCUGGUCAAUCAUUUGAAAUAGAUUAUUCAAAUCUUUUUACACGAUUCAAAAAUGCAGGGUUGAAAUAAAUUUAUUAAAAUAAAUUAGAAAAGGGAUUCAAAAAACGGUUACUGUAAGUAUUCAAAUUGAUGCCCAUCUUGAUCAAUGUAUUUACGGCAACGAGCAGCUCCGGCGAAGAAUAUCUGUGAAGAGUUUUAAAUUCUUCUUCAAUUGAUGAUAGGAGGUCGGGAAGGGUGCGUGGUCCUUGAGAAGGUCCACAGGAAGAACGUCUUCCACAUUGUUGAUCGAUUUGGUAGCGGCGAGUUCGGAAAUUGUUAUUGAAAUUCGGUAAACAUAGUUUCGUAAUUCCGCUUUCGUACGUAGAUACGACGUAAUAAGAAACUCUUUCUUGAAGCGUGAACUUUUAUCAGUUAUUCAUUCUGAAAACGCGUAUACUCAAUGAUAACGUGUUAUCAUGACACAGACACAACUAUCUGAAUGACGAAUAUGCUUCGUUUUAUUCUUUUUUGACAGCAUUGCCGGAUUUAUGAGCGUUGCCGGACUUAUGCCGAUUUUUCGAGAGCGUAGUCUGAUUUAUGCCGAUCUCUGUAUAAGUUGGAUAAGCUGAAAAACUCAAAUUUCUCCAUUUCAAAUAGCAUGCAGUGGCUUAAAAGUUUUACAAAAUAUAGAAUAAAUUCAAAUUUGGGAAUAAUUCUUCUAAUUUUUGCAUUGGGGUUUUCGUAAUCUGAUAGUAGUAAUGUCCUCAAAUAGAGUCUGAAAACACUGUUUCUAUUAAAUAAGAUCAGUAGAUCUUCCUUCCAUUUAAAAACUUCAAAAUCAAAAGUAAUACCGUCUGUUCCAAAACUUAAAGUGGAGUUUUAAUGAUUCAAAAUAUUUAUUACAUCGCACUUAUAGUUAUAAAAAAAUAAUACGUAAAAUUGAAGAGCAGCUCGAACAGUUUGGUUUGUUGGCAGCAGUUGUAAUGUGUCCACCGCCAACCACUGAAAAACCGAACCUUAACAUUGACAAACGCUAGUAGCGAAGAUAACGACUGAAGAACAGAAAGUGAUAAAGACUGAAAGUAGUCGAAACAUCUUUUAAAAAUUAUAAAAAAAAACUACUUUAAAACAGAAGAGACCUAUAAAAGGUCAUAAGAAAUUGAAGAAAUAUGAAUUAGAACGAAGUGUUUGCCAGUUAGAUUAUCAGCGUUUCUGUAGUAGGAUUGUGCCAAAAUUAAAUACCAAAGUGUACUAACUCUAAUUUAUUCCGAGCUUUCAAAUAUUUAUGUAUUAAUCGUCUGGCAAUCAAUUAGUUAAAAAUCGCGGUGUGACAAAUUUUGUAAUAUCUCUUAAAAAACAGUAAAUUCAUCUUCUUGAAAAUUCAAUAUUCAAAUUGACGAUUAAUAAAAAUGUUAAGCGUAUUGAUUCUAAUGCCAAAAAGUCAUUUUGAAAUUAGAAAUUGAAUAUUAUAUAAAUUCUUGUUUUUUCGAUUUUGAAGACAAACAGGAUUCAAAAACAUCCAUUUCUGUCUUAUUUUCAAUAUCUUUGUUGCUUGUACAAACCAUAAAAAGACAACAAUGUUUUGUACGAAAGACCUUAAUUUUUCUACGCCUAAAUAUUUAUUGUGUAUCUUUUACGUUUAAUAUAAUGAAUAAACAAUCCUGAGGCCAUCAAUCGCUAAGUUUAUGGGACACAUUAUCAAUCGAUUAAUAAAGUGAAUUAUUAAAGGAUUCUCUUUUAUUUCACUAUUAUCAAAAAUUUCAUCAAUUUCGUAAAUUGGAUAUAUUUUUUCUAUAAUAUUUUUUUUAAUAUUCGUGCUAACGACUAUGAAUGUAGUUCAUUUCAAAUAUUUUUUAUUCACCUCAAAAAACGCAUAGCACAGUUUUCUCUUUAUUGUAUCAGGCAGUCUUUAAUUUUUUAUUUCUUAGACCUUUAGAUAUAUUUAUGCUUCUAUUCUUCUCGAUUUUAGAUCUCUUCUGUUUCAAAAUUAGUUUUUUUAAUAAUUUUUAUAAGAUAGAUAAAAUUUGACGUUUGGACUAAUUUUAACCUUUUAUCAAAAUAUUUUUAUCUAUCUUCUGAAGAUUAUUAGAAAAAAUAAUUUUGAAUCAGAAGAGGAAACCUAAAAUCAAGAACAGUUAAAAAAAUUUAUUAUUAUUUCCCGAUAGAAUCAUGUGUUCCUGUUUCCACCAGAUCGAAUUCUCAAAAUAGCCAAAAAUUAACUCAAGUAGUUUAAUUUUUUCCUUUUUGUGAUAUAUUCAUUCUAUUUUUGGCAUUUUUUGUUGUAGAUUAUUAAUUAUCUAAUUUGUUUAAGAAAAACUCUUGAUAUAAUAAUCUAUAUCUAUCACGUAUAACACAAACAAUAUUGACUUAUUCAAGAGAAAUUUUUUUCUUGUUAUUCUUAACUCAAAGUUAUUAUCAAUGCAUACCACGCUCUUCAAAAGAUCUCUUGAUAGAUUAUUGUGAGGUGGUGUCUAGAGCGUUCUUUAUGAAAGCUGCUAGGGUAAUAUCUUUGCUUUUAAUAGCCUCUUCUAUGUGUAGGCAAUGUAGUGCUUCUGCAGAGGACUCAUCUUUUUGAUAGGUGAACUGUUUUGUGUGAAGUGGCCUUCUUGCGACAGCCGUACUCCUUGUGAAUGAUUCUAUAGCUUUCAUCAUAGGUUUUGGAAGGAAGGAGAUGAGGAUGAUAGGACGGUAAUCUUGAAUCUUGGUGCUUCGAAAAGUUUGUCAAGAUGUUUCUUCAUUAUUUCGAAGCAUGGAAAAAAUCGAUAUUUACCAGCUGAUUUCUAUGGUCUAAAGUUUUUACUAGAACAUUUUCCACUUUAUUCUCUUUAUUAAAAAAGAUUUGUCGUGUCAUGCCAAACUUUUGCUUCUUCUGUUAGGAUCGCUCCUUCUUUCCCCCAGUAUGCUCUUCUGGUUUUCAGAAUUUAUGAUUUUUGAGCCUGGUAAGUGAGUUUUUGGGAUCUCCAAUGUAAUGUUCUUGGAUUUUGGAUUUUGGAGUAGUACAAUUCCGUUUAAAUGUGUUUUGUUCUUAAGUUCCUUGGCAUAGUUUGUAAAGGCUGUUCUAUAAAUUGCCUAAUUGUCAGAAUAUAUUUCGUUUUUGAACCACUUUUCUACCUUAGACCUCUAGCGGUCCAGGUUCCUGUUUCUCCAAGGCACAUAUCCAUGGAAUGUCUUUGAUUUUACUGUGCAGUUGUUUUCAUCUGCCACCAUAAUUAAGUAAUGGUAAUUGACUUGCUUCUAGUUCCUAUGUUAUGAGAAUAUUCUUCCAGACACAACUAGGGGCUCUCAACAUCCGUCAAUUUAGUGAGUUUUUGAUUUCUCUGUUCUUUUGUGUGAGUCGUUAUUACCUCUAGGCCAAAUCUGAUACUUAGAUUAUUGGACAAGUUUUAUAUAUCGCAUUUUUCAAUAUUUUUAGAGUUUAAAUAUUUAAAAUGAUACUCACCUCUUGCAUUGUUAUCAGUGUUGCCUCAUCCAAUUUGUUGAUGUGUAUUAUCUCUUAAACAUUCCUAUAUAUUUAGCCAGGUCUAGAACGGAUUUUCAUCAGCAUUAUUAUUAUUAUUAUUAUUAUUAUUAUUUUUGUGAAAAUAACAUUUCCAAUAAAAUUCAUUUUUGUAGUGGAAAACAUUAAAAAAAGAAUACGAAUCAUAAAUGAACAACUAAGCACGGAUAAAAUUUGAUUGGUUUUUUAUCAAAUUUGAAUUUGAUUUUUGAGAUAUGGAAUAUUGUAUACACCACGGAAGUUACUAGUUUUUAAUUCCAUCGGGAUACUCAUUUCCCCGUUAAUUUUCUGGAAGAACUUUCUCAAAUUUUAAAUAUCUAUUCUUCACAUACUAUAUUAAAAUAUGUGAUAAGACUAUUCGGAAUAUGCGCAUUCUAAUGUUAAGUGGUCAGCAUUAUUUUAUUGAAAUGUGAUAUUAAAUGUUUUGUCUAUAGUUGAGGAGGCUUUUUUAAUAAUAUACCUCGUAAUUCAAUUAAUGAAAUAAUUAAUUUUUCUUAAAUGUAGGUAUCUUGAUAUCAGUGCGUCUGGUAUUGGUAUAUCGGAUAUCUCAAAUUAUAUACUGAGAUCUCAAUAACGGUUAAAGAUGAACGCUUAACUUAUGGCAAAGCUGCACAGGGAAUUAUAAGUGAACGUAAUUAGAUUUCCAACACCCGUUCUCUUUACCUUUUAUAUAAUUCAAAAUAUACAGGGUGAUUUAUUAGUGUGAUAAAGUUCAGUGCAUCCUUUGUCCUUUGAGAUAUCAUUUGAGGGAUUAUAUUCAUCAUUAAUCUUCAUAUUUUGAAAUCAUUUAAAAUCUCAUAGGGAAAUUAUUUACAAUCUUACUAUUAAUAGUUAAAUAAUUAGGAACAUAAUCAUUGUUUUGUACAGAAAAAUCAAAAUAUUUCUAAUAAUUUUAGGUAUAGGGAAGUAUGCUUUUUGAUGCUCAUAUACAAUACAGGAUGAUUAAUUUGAAUUCAUCUAGAAAAGAAUGAAUAACUAUUUUGAUACUCCCUGUAUCAGAUUCAAUGAAUAUUAACGAAAUAAAUAAUUUUCCAAAAUUUUUUUUACUAUUCGGAUGCUUUGGCAGCAAGCAGGUUUCUCUUACAUUGUACAGGGUAUUGAAUUUGUUGCAAUUUUUAUGAAAAAUUAGUUAUAACUUGUUAAAUACUCCGUAGAAUGCAUCACAACUCUACAUUAUUAUAAUAGGGAAGUCAAGCUGAUUCCAAAUAUGCCAUAAAAUAUGGGGUUUUUCAUUUAGGCAAAUAUAACGUUGAUAUAGCACAGCAUUCUGGAAUACCCUGUAAGAUUGUAAAUGAUUUGAAAAUAUGGAGACUGAAGAUGGUUAUAAUCCUUCAAAUUUUCGACUUGAUAUCUCAAAGGACAAAGAAAGCACUGAAUUUUGUCACACUAAUCAAUCUUCCUGUAUGUUUUCUUUGAUUCUUGGGAUACCAAAGAAUAGUUGAAUACUUAAAUCAUCUAUUAUCAGUCAAAACUUUUAUAAUCAGUUUUAAAUAAUAUGAAAAUUCUCACAGAUGCCUCAAACUUAUUUCACAAUCACUUUAGACGAUUUAGAUCUCUUAAUUACUUACAAGCUAUCAUAAAAACUAAAUAAAACUGGAUUUUCAUUUUUUAUAUCAUUUUCAAGGCUUUUAGAGAGACAGUAUUCGGAAAUAAAAAAAUAAACUGUACGUGUGAGUCGGUGUUGAUAGGGAAUGAGUGGUUAAUUAAAUCAUCACAUAUUUUUUUGCAAAAGAAAUAGAUAUGAAUGAAGCAGAAUAUUGACGAGGAUUGUCCCAGAAGUACCUGGCCCAACAAAAAAACACAAAAAUUUCAGAAAAAAAUAUACUUUUUUUCAACGUAAUCUCUUUUCAGAUCCAUACACUUAUCCCAGCAAUGUUCAAUCAGUUCGAUACCCUUUUUAUAAUAAGAAUCGUCAAGCUCCUCAAAAUAGCCAUUAACUGCCGACAUCACCUCUUCAUUGUCCGAAAAUCUUUGACCACCGAGUUAUUUUGUCCAGUCUGGAAACAGGAAAUAAUCCUAGGGGGCUGGUAGCAAUUCAAACUUCAAUUCAUUAAUUAUGGCCAUUGCAAUAAUGGAUGUGUAAGGUGGUGCAUUGUCUUACUGAAACAACACUUUCUUCUUAGUCAAAUGCGGCCGUUUUUGCUUGAUUUCUUCGCUCGUUGCAAAAAGUUCUUACAAUAUUAGACGUUGUUUUUCCUUUUUCUAGAUAAUCAAAGCAAAACAUCUUACGAGCAUCACAAAAAACCGACGUCAUGAUCUUGCCUGCAGUUAGAACGGUCUUUGUUUUCUGUGGAGCUGGUUUUCCCUUUUCAUUCCAUUGCUUCAUUGUUCUUUUGUUUCGGGUAUGAAGUUGUGGACCCACGUUUCAUCCAUGUUUAUGAAACGGUGCAAAAAUUCAGCUUUGUUUCUGUUCCAUUGUGAGCAAACGUAGCACCCAUCUUGCGCACAGCUUUCUCAUGUACAAAUUUUCAGUUAAUAUGCGAUGAGUCUUCACCUCAUGUGGUCGAUUAGUGCGAUGUUGGUUACUUUUGAUAACGAAGGAAUAGUCUCACCCAGAGUAGAAUCUAGUUCAGCUUUUAUAUUGGUUGGAUUAACACCUUUCAAAUAAACUUAUUAUAGCAGAUAACGAUGACCAAUUUUUUUCAUGUUUGCAAAUUCACUGAAAACGUUCACUAUUGAUAGCUUACAACUACUAAACAGUGUGGCAUCUUCAAACUUGCAACAUAUGCUGUAUAGAUGGUGUACUUUCUGAUGCAGUCGUAUUUUCCAAGCAACUACCGUCUCUCUAGAUCAGGCUAGGUACUUCUGGGACCAUCAUCGUAUAAGGAAACUAAUUUGGGUGUUUGCCAUUUAAUUUUUAUAUCUACUUAUGCAGCCAUUCUAUUUAAAAAAAACUAUAAAUAAAAUAAAUUAUAUGUACUACCGAAUUCGAUGUUGUAGCUAAUUCAAUGCCAAUAUCAUCAGGGUACUUCCCCUUCAGUUUGCGCUUUAAAAUCGUCUCAAUAGAGGCUGUUAAUGCAUCUAUGAAUGGUGCUCCAUCGGUGUUAUCUUCUUCCAUUAAAAGUUUGGUCUUCGUCUUUGGUUUCUGUUUUUCUUCAAGAAAACUCCGUGGAAUUAAUCACUUUUCAUUCAUUAUUAUAUAUUCGAUUUUUUUUGGAAAACAGCAAUUUUGCAAAAUAAAAUCAUAUUUGAAGCUCUAGCUAUCUUAACUUUGUAGAUAUCUAUAAAAACGGAAAUGUUCAAAGAACUAUUUGAGUAAAAUUGAGAGAUCUAUAACUUUGAUAAGAAAAUUUUUCCAAAAUUUACCCCUAUCUAUUAGAUGACUCCAAAGAAUUUUGAAUAUGUCAGCUUGGUGGCUAAGGGGCUUACCAAAUAUUCACUUUUGAAACCCUAUUUUCUUGGACUAGUUGUCUCAUAUGGUGAGAAUGUCGUUCCAUUUCGGGGGCGGUAAUGAAUAUAUUGAAUAUUUGAUAAAAAUAAAUUAUAUCAGGACCUGGAUGAUGACUGUUAGGGUAAGAGAUGAAAACCCUCAAGGGAAUCCAUAUUCUUUUUGAUAACCACAAUCAAAUAAGUAAUUUGCGUAAUUUAAAAUUGAGGGCCGUGAUAAAAAAACAGUUGAUAUAUAGUAAAGUAUAGUAUAGUAAAGAAUGAAAUAAAAAAAUUGUUAAUAGUUGUGUGAAAAGUGAAAUCAGAGAAAUCACUGGUUUCCAAUCAUUAAAAAAAUGGGUAUGAAUAAUAAUAAUUUCCUCUUAUUAUAGUUUUCUUAAAUGUGCAACUUUGUCACAUUUUAACCAUUUUUAUAUCUCUUGCCGUUUCCGAGAUACAAAUUAUACACCCGACUCGUUACCACUUAUUUGAUAAAACCGUUUUUUGUCUUUUAGUCUAAGAUCCGAAGUAAAAUCGACCUUCACCCAUCUGUUUAAUGGAUGAAAAUAAUUUUAUAAGUAAUUUAUUAUGUUAAAAAUUAUAAAAAAAUGGGUUGACUGAAAAAAUCCUGGCCAGGCUAUAAUUAAUUAAUAAUUAAAAAAUCACUUUGUUUUUAAUUUCUACCGAUGUGUUUAAUGAAAAAAUUGUACACCAACCGUAAGUACAAAGUCUAUAGAGUAUGCAAACGUAGGGUUGACUAUAUUUUUCCUCGCCUAAUUAUUGGGUCAACCCUAUAUCAUUGUGUUCGCAAUAAAACAGCGCUUAUUUUUAUAUUUAAUUUAUAGAUUAAACAAGUAGGUGAAAAUAACUAAGACCAAAAUACCUGUUUAUACCUGUCAACCCAAUACAUAUCGGUAGAGAUUAGAAAAAAAGUGAUUUUUUAAUUAUUAAUUAAUUAUAGCUUAGCCAGGAUUAUUUCAUUCAAACCCAUUUUUUUUUAUAAUUUUUGACAUACUAAUUUACUUAUAAAAUUUUACUUCGGAUCCUCUACUAUUUAUUUCUAACAAUUUUAAUUUAAAUGCAAAUUAAAUUAUACUACAAGUAGAAGUCUUGUAUACAUGUUACUUUUUUUAAAACUUGGAUGCUUAUUACAUACUUUUUCCGCACAAUUAUAGUUUAUCAUAAACAACAAUAAGUUUUUAACUCACAAUAAUAACUGAAAAGUCUUCAGUAAUAGAAAAACUAUAGUGAGAAGAACAAAAUACGAUCAAGACAAAAAAGCAUUUUUAGGUUAGUUUUCUUUAAUACGUCAACCAAAAUAGUGGGUAUUUAAAAAUACAAAAAAGGUAGUUGGUACUGUAGACUCGUGGGAUGAAAAUAAUUUCAUUAAAUCUAACCAACAAGUUAUAUCCUAAAUUGUUGGUACAAUAUUAAUGUUUCACACAAAUAAUCAUUUUACUCAUAAAAACAGUAGGAUGAUAUCGAUUUCCAUAUUUUUUCGCAUGUCAUAUUCUGUGAUUCUAAAUCAUGUACUAAGCUGAUUCUGAUCAUCAGCCAUUUGCAGUGUAACCAUAUUGCUGUACGAAUAUACUCUUUCUAACAUUUGUCGAUAUUUAAUUGCAUUUCUAAUAUUCUUUACAAAAUCUAUGUUUACGUGUUCUUCCAUAUUUCUCAUAAAACGACCCGUGUAUGUAUAAAGAUGCUAAUCAGGGUGGCCAUUUUUCAGGUACAUCAGCUUCUCUGCCAAUCCACUUUAAGGAAAGUGCUAAUGUCGGUGGCUCUCUACAGUGAAUAUAAUGUGAAUGUGAAAACCACAAGUUAGUGCUAGUAAAGCCUCAAAUAAGGCUAUGCAGGAGAUAAUCUAAUUAUACUUUACCAUUCAACCUAACUGGUGAAAUAAUGGGAAAUUUUCUCCUAUUUUUUUUGCUCAUACAUUGAGCUUGAUCGUUUGUGUUAUAUUUCUUCCAGUAACGCUGUCUUCAUCGGUAAAUAAUUUGAAACUGAAUAACUUUAGUCCGUUCUAAUAAAUCUAGUUGGAGCACUUUUUUUAUCCUUAUUUUCUGGAAACUAAUUCCAAAACUGUCUAGUCAAUAUGUUGGAUGUAGAUUGUUUAACGAAUUGCCGACAACCGAUGAAGUAACAUGGGGAUGUUCAAACGUUACGUUGAGUCCUACAGACCUUGAAAAAACAGUAAAGUUCCGAAUGGUAAAUCCAAAAAAUGUAACCGUUUUGUGGUUUCAAAAUAAUACUGGUGGAUUCGAUUCAAAUGUUUUCCAAAAUUUUACACAGGUAAAGGCCUUAUAUAUAGUAGAAAAUGUUUUUGAAACGUUUAAUCUCAAUUUUACCAACAUAGAAAGGCUUUGGAUGGUGAGAACAACAUUGCCCAGUGAUACAACCUUCGCAAAUUGUUGUCCUAGAUUGGAACGAUUAUUUUUAAAAUCUAACGAAGGCUUGAAUUUUGAACUAACUGGGUUUAGAGGGAUGAGCCGUCUGCAUCAUUUGAAUUUGAAAUUACAGAAACUUAAACAUGUAACCAGAAAUACCUUUAGAGGUCUGAGUCGGUUGAAAACAUUGACACUGGUGCAUUGUGGAAUAGAAAGUAUAGCUGAAGGUUCUUUCGAUGAUCUUUCAAAUCUAAGAGAAAUCGAUAUAGAAGAUCAUAAUAUCACGAGAAUAGCCUCGGGUGUUUUUGAUUCUAUGCCUAAACUCACAUCUUUGACUAUUUAUGGAGACAAUAUACCCCCGCUUUCGCUCAGUAUGUUCAAAAAUCAAAAAAAAUUGAUGCAAAUUGGAUUACCACUAAAUACUUGGAGAGUUGUUGAUGUUGAACAAAUACCUACCAUGUUUCCAAGACUGAAUUUCUUCUCGCAUAUCGGAACGUGGGACAAUGAACAAGACAAAUUCGAUUUGAAUAAAAGAGUAUUUCGGAGAUUAUCAGAAUUACUCGAGAAUAGUGAAAGGUUUUCGUGAAGAAUAUUUUAAAAUGAAUUAUAAUCACAUUGUUUUACGUGAGGAAUAAUUAUUAUAGUUUAUUUAUUCUAGUAUAAGUCUUUGUAUUGCUUAAACUAUAUACGAAAAUAAUAAAAUUUUGGGGAAAAAUAA